GAACGCCUUGCUUGCAGCAGAGAAAUCUGUCCUUAAAAAAGAAAUCAGAGGAAAACAGCAGAAAGUACGAAGGUUGAAGUCAAAGCUAAGCAGAACAUCGUCAAAAUCUGAGGCUUUGCUGCAAGAGGUGAACAAACUGCCAAAAGAAGUCAAUCUAAGGUAUCCUAUUAGAACACCAACACCACCAAACAACCAACAAAAUAAU